rnacentral:rRNA from 1 species
UACGUAGGUGGCGAGCGUUGUCCGGAAUGACUGGGCGUAAAGGGAGCGUAGGUUGCGAUUUAAGUUAGGUGUGAAAGCUCGUGGCUCAACUACGGAACUGCAUCUAAAACUGGAUUGCUAGAGUACAGGAGGGGUAAGCGGAAUUCCUAGUGUAGCGGUGGAAUGCGUAGAUAUUAGGAAGAACACCGGAGGCGAAGGCGGCUUACUGGACUGCAACUGACACUGAGGCUCGAAAGCGUGGGGAGCAAACAGG